CACCGUCCAAGCUCGCUUGGCCCCGGCAGAUGAACCUUAGGAUUAAAGGGUGGGCUCAGUUCCGCGCACACUGUGUCUCACCUAAAAAAUCCAAUGCGCAGGCUGGAAGGUGUAAAGACCUUCCCCGGAUCUUCUCUUGCGAAGACUGGCCAUUAUUAUUAUUAUAAGAUGAUAAUAACUGUUCAUUAUCACUUAUGCUAGCUUUAAAUACUUGGAGUCCCUUCUUGCCAAGCACAAAUGUGAAUGCAUCCAAUGAUGUGUUCAGUUCCUCUACUUCUGUGGAAGUCAGUGCAACACAUCUGUGUGCUAAGCACACACUACAGGACCUGGCCCUGAGGGCACUUAAAUCAACAUUAACCCCAUAGGCCAGGAAGUCCCUGAAGCCUAUGCAAUGCCCUUAGAGCUGGAUCCCCUCAAAAAUCCAACAUACACCAACUAUACCACUCACUUUAGUUACCUCCCCUUGUACACAGUGCAUUUGUUUGUCUAAAUUCUGCAGGAUCCCCUCUAAAGAGAGAAAGUUAGAACAGUAGUGGGGAACAAAUAACUGGAAGAUGAGGAUGAGGUUUCAGGCUGGGAUAUGGCCAUGGAAGUUCCAAACUGCUACAGCUGAAAGCUCAUACCCUGACAACAGGCUGUAUGCUGUUUCACUUGAGCUAAUAGGUAACAGAUCUGAAUGGAGGUAAAAACCCCUCAGUUCUUUGUAUUUCUGCACUGUGCGGUUUUUUGGCGGGUAAAUUACUUCUGAUUCUUUCCCUCAGCACACCACUGAUAACAAUAAUUUGCAGCCGCCCAACUUAUGAUCGUUCACAUUCCUGGUUUGUAUAUAAACAGGACAUACAGUAUGGCUUGUUCCCACCCACACCACCCCAAGACUGUGAAGCUGUUCGUGCAGGAGAACGGGAGGUGCAUGCACAUUAAAUGGUAUGGAAAAGUCAUGUUCUGAGUGGCAUAGCUGUCCAUCGCUUUACACACCGGCAGAGCCCACAAAGGGUGAAAAAUUAAACCUUUUUUUUCCAAAUGCCAUAGUCAUUUCAGGGUUAUCUUAACUGAAAUUGUGAAGCGUGAAAGUAUUUCUUUCCUCCACUAAAUGUAACACAUGGAAAACUUCCUUCCACCUCAGUGGCACUUUCAAUGAGUCCUUUCCAGGGAGCUGCUACUGCUGAUACUGGAAAAUGAGACCCAGUUAUUUUCUCCCCAUAGCGGGGGAGUAUCUAAGUUUAUGUCUCUAGAACAUAAAAUUGGCCCAUGAGUGAUUAAUGUUUUGGGUUUUUAUCCAUGAAAAGGCUAGAAGGACCAAUAAAAAUAAUUAAUUUUUUCUUGGUGAGAAAUACUAAAAUCUAUCAUUCCAAGAAAGACUAUAUACUUGCCUUCACUGCUAUGUUCAGGCCAGGUAAUAUUUUAUUCCCUCAAUAGUUUCAUUACUUUCACUGGGCCUUCCUGGAAUUUCUUUGAUUCACAGAAUAGAUUUGCCGUGUGUCCAAGGACCAAUUUGUACAGGGGGGUCCUGGUCCAUGGCCAUGAUUAAGACUGUAACAGAAAAUCACCAUUGUUUACUUUAAAAUCUCUGGUUUGAUGUAAAUCAAGUGACUUUCAAAGUAUAUGCUGCUCAGUUUUUGAGAGAAGCAAUGCAGUCUUGUUUUAUUGCCAAAUAAAUUACACAGGGCAAAUAAGAAUUUUUAUUGUAAUAAAAAAUUCAACUUCUGCUUUUGUCUUGAACAAAACAUUUUAGUAGGCAUACCACUUUGUGCUAUUGUAUACUGCUUUGUAAAAAGCUGAAUAAACUGUUUUACCCUUUCUUGUUAAAGUUCUCCAGUUUAAAAUGUAAACUGCUAGUUUGCUAAAGAGUUAAUGAGGGACUUCAUCCUAAAUAAAUAAUUUGUAAGUAAGGAAUGUAAUACUUAAAAUACAUGUUCCUCUUUAACAAGUGGUGAGGAAUGAUGAUUUUUUUUUUUAAAUGCAAACAAAUGCUGGGAGAAUUUGAGUGGUAUCCAGAUAUACUGAAGGAGAUGCAUUUUCAUGUACUUUCAAAUACAUUUCUUAACACUUUCAGUCAAGUUUGUGUUGGAUGUUUGCACUAGUUGCUCAAAGCUAAUUUUUGUGAGAAAGAACUAUAUUCUUAUGUAUAGUUGGUACACUAGAAAAGCAAGUGUUUUUAGAAACUGUUAUGCUGUAAUAACAAUAGUAUUUAUUAGUGAAUAGCUCAAAUUUAUUUUACAAAAUCGCCAAUUUUGAAAUAAAUGGACAGGCUUCCUGUAUAUAAUCUGUUAUCUGUGGGUUUGUCCUUUUUCUCACAACAAAAUACCUUAAAACAUAGUUUAGGAGAGAUCACCAUUUAGUUCUAAUUGUUUAAUUUACUCAUUGUUAUUAUUAUAUAUUUUAUCUAUUGUAUGCAUUAUUUUUAUCUAUUCAUGCAUUUUCAUGCCCAGUAGUUAUAUUCACUUUUUAGCAGAGUAAACACUGCAAAUUCAUCAAGUAUGUUGUUUCCCAACUAUCCAGAAAGUGACUUUUCAUUUUAGAGGAAGAAUCUAAACUUUUAUUUUGGUCAAUAAACAGAUGGAUUUUAAAUUUUUAUACAGGUGAAGAAUUAUUAAUUUAUUAUUGCAUAGAAAUUGGCAUUAUAAAGGCAAGCCAUGGGAAAUCUUACAAAAACAGUUGUGCUUAAUUAGUUACUGUUCUUACAAUUCAGUUUAUCUGGACUGCUUCUGUGUACAUGUUUAGACUUGUGGAUUAGUAAAUUACUAGCUGCAGUACCCAUUCAUAUUUACUAUGUACUUCCCCCUACCCCUUAUUCCCUUUGCAGUAUAUGAGAAAAGGAAAAUAAAGUACAACAGAGUUGCAAUACA